GAUGAACGCUGGCGGCGUGCCUAAUACAUGCAAGUCGAGCGAACAGACGAGGAGCUUGCUCCUCUGACGUUAGCGGCGGACGGGUGAGUAACACGUGGAUAACCUACCUAUAAGACUGGGAUAACUUCGGGAAACCGGAGCUAAUACCGGAUAAUAUAUUGAACCGCAUGGUUCAAUAGUGAAAGACGGUUUUGCUGUCACUUAUAGAUGGAUCCGCGCCGCAUUAGCUAGUUGGUAAGGUAACGGCUUACCAAGGCAACGAUGCGUAGCCGACCUGAGAGGGGGAUGGGCCACACAGGAACUGAGACACGGUCCAGACUCCUACGGGAGGCAGCAGUAGGGAAUCUUCCGCAAUGGGCGAAAGCUUGACGGAGCAACGCAGCGUGAGUGAUGAAGGGCUGCGGAUCGUAAAACGCUGUUAUUAGGGAAGAACAAAUGUGUAAGUAACUAUGCACGUCUUGACGGUACCUAAUCAGAAAGCCACGGCUAACUACGU
rnacentral:rRNA from 1 species